GAUGAACGCUGGCGGCGUGCCUAACACAUGCAAGUCGAGCGAUGAAGUUUCCUUCGGGAAAUGGAUUAACGGCGGACGGGUGAGUAACACGUGGGUAACCUGCCUCAUAGUGGGGAAUAGCCUUCCGAGAGGGAGAUUAAUACCGCAUAACAUCAUUAGAUGGCAUCAUUUAGUGAUCAAAGGAUUUAUUCGCUAUGAGAUGGACCCGCGUCGCAUUAGCUAGUUGGUAGGGUAAUGGCUUACCAAGGCGACGAUGCGUAGCCGACCUGAGAGGGUGAUCGGCCACAUUGGGACUGAGACACGGCCCAGACUCCUACGGGAGGCAGCAGUGGGGAAUAUUGCACAAUGGGGGAAACCCUGAUGCAGCAACGCCGCGUGAGUGAUGACGGUCUUCGGAUUGUAAAGCUCUGUCUUUGGGGACGAUAAUGACGGUACCCAAGGAGGAAGCCACGGCUAACUAC
rnacentral:rRNA from 1 species